rnacentral:tRNA from 2 species
GGGCCCGUAGCUCAGUUGGGAGAGCGCUGCCCUUGCAAGGCAGAGGCCGUGGGUUCAAAUCCCGCCGGGUCCA